AGAGGACCGGGGAAGCUAUAAGGAGAUACCAAAUAUGUAGUGUAACUCACCAGACCCACGAACUCAGAAGCCGCGGCCUACCAGCAUGGAUGGUGCAAGGGAGACGGCUGCUCCCAGACCAACAUACCCAGCUGGACAUGACCUUGUGGAACCCCGUUCUUACCCCCUCCCCCCCCAUGUACCGGCGGGGGUCAUCCCGGUCCCCAUCAACCCAGAGCACACGGCUACAC